UAGAUCUAGCAAACUCCAGUAACACAAACAUUUGUGAGAUCUAAUAGAAUUAAUUUAAGGUUUAUGUCAGAGCUAGUAUUUAUUUACUUCAUGCACCUAUAUAUAUUUGUUGUUUUGAAUCAAUUUAAACAAGACCUGUUAUGCGCGAAGAGAAACCGCAAGCAAUUAGCUGAACUCCUUAAAUCCAUAAUUAUUUGAGCAGUUCCAGCACUAAGUAGCGAUCAGUGCCGCACUAAGGAGGUAAGUAAUUUAGUUGAUCGGUUCACGCGGAUGAAUCCGACAACUUGAAUCAGGUCCUUCUAGCUCUCAAGGUCGUUGACAAGUUAAAUCUUGUGGACGUUUCUAGUACUACUUAACAACGAAUAACC
rnacentral:lncRNA from 1 species